UUAAAAUAAGUUUGGGGGGGGUUUCUUUGGAACAACACAGAGAAAAUUAGCCUGCCCCUGUGAAAUGAUAACAUGCAAAUUCAUGAAGCAGUCCAUAUGUUU